rnacentral:rRNA from 1 species
AACGAACGCUGGCGGCAGGCCUAACACAUGCAAGUCGAACGCUCGUAGCAAUACGGGAGUGGCAGACGGGUGAGUAACACGUGGGAACCUACCCUUUGGUUCGGAAUAGCCCAGGGAAACUUGGGGUAAUACCGGAUAAGCCCUUCGGGGAAGGAUUAUCGCCGAGGAUGGCCGCGUCGGAUUAGCUAGUUGGUGGGGUAACGGGCCUACCAAGGCGACGAUCCGUAGCUGGUCUGAGAGGAUGAUCAGCCACACUGGGAC